rnacentral:rRNA from 1 species
AGGAAGCCCGAGAAACGGCUACCACAUCCAAGGAAG